GAUGAACGCUGGCGGCGUGCCUAAUACAUGCAAGUCGAGCGAACAGACGAGGAGCUUGCUCCUCUGACGUUAGCGGCGGACGGGUGAGUAACACGUGGAUAACCUACCUAUAAGACUGGGAUAACUUCGGGAAACCGGAGCUAAUACCGGAUAAUAUAUUGAACCGCAUGGUUCAAUAGUGAAAGACGGUUUUGCUGUCACUUAUAGAUGGAUCCGCGCCGCAUUAGCUAGUUGGCAAGGUAACGGCUUACCAAGGCAACGAUGCGUAGCCGACCUGAGAGGGGGAGCGGCCACACGGGAAGUGAGACACGGCCCAGACUCCGGCGGGAGGAAGCAGUGGGGAAUCUUCGGCAAUGGGCGAAAGCCUGACGGAGCAACGCCGCGUGGGUGAAGAAGUUCUUCGGAUCGUAAAGCUCUUUUUUUGGGAAAGAAAAAAUGGAGAAUAAAAUAUGCCUGUUUUGACGGUACCUAAAGAAAAAGCACCGGCUAACUACGUG
rnacentral:rRNA from 1 species